rnacentral:rRNA from 1 species
GCUUUAAGAAAUUUAAUUUAAAGUAUAAUCUGCCCAAUGAAAAAAAUUUAAAUGGCUGCAGAAUAAAUAACUGUACAAAGGUAGCCAUAAUAAUUUGCUUUUUAAUUAAAAGCUUGUAUGAAAGAUUAAAUAAAAUAUAAACUUAUCUCAAUUAAAAAAUAUUUUAAUUUUUUAUUUAAGUAAAAAAACUUAAAUAACUUUAAAAGACGACAAGACCCUAUAGAAUUUUAUUAUUAAAAUAAUUUUUUUUAUAAAAAAAAUUAUUUAUAAUAAUUUAAUUGGGGUAAUUUAAAAAUUAAAAAAAUUUUUUAAAAUAAAACAAUAAUAAUUGAUUAUAAUUUAUAAAAAUUUUAAUUAAAAAAUUAAUUACCUUAGGGAUAACAGCAUAAUUUUUUUUAAAAGAUCUUAUUAAUAAAAAAGAUUAU